UACGUAGGGUGCAAGCGUUAAUCGGAAUUACUGGGCGUAAAGCGUGCGCAGGCGGUUCGCUAAGACCGAUGUGAAAUCCCCGGGCUUAACCUGGGAACUGCAUUGGUGACUGGCGGGCUAGAGUAUGGCAGAGGGGGGUAGAAUUCCACGUGUAGCAGUGAAAUGCGUAGAGAUGUGGAGGAAUACCGAUGGCGAAGGCAGCCCCCUGGGCCAAUACUGACGCUCAUGCACGAAAGCGUGGGAGCAAACAGG
rnacentral:rRNA from 1 species